rfam:Hebeloma cylindrosporum h7 unplaced genomic scaffold scaffold_3, whole genome shotgun sequence.
GGUGAGGUGGCCGAGCGGUCUAAGGCGCCAGACUAAGGACCAGGGCAGUUACUGUCCAUGGAUAUCUGGUCCUCCGGGGCGUGGGUUCGAAUCCCACCCUCAUCA